UCUCAGGGUUUCUGGGUGCUCCCAAAUCCCGGACAAGCCCCCAAAAAGUAAGUCCCCCUUUCGGGGACCCCCACUCUAGUCUCAGGAGUGAGAGAGCACUCAAAGAAACACAAGAAUUC
rnacentral:pre_miRNA from 7 species